rnacentral:snoRNA from 13 species
GUUUGUUGAAAAUCACCCCCGGCUUUGGCCGUAGUCGCGGGUGAGAUUCGGCGCCCAGAACGUCCAGGGUCCUCAGCUCACCGCCCACUGCCGGUGUGGGUGGGUGAAACCCAGGCCCCGACAUCC